CGGGCCCUGCUCCUGUUGGAGCCGCCCCGGGUUGUGUCCGCACCGCUGCAGCUUCCAGGUGUCUGACUGAUAUCAGGGCUCUUAUUGUACUGAGCAUGGCCCUGUUCUGCCAGGCGCUGCAGAGACUCCAGGUGAGAUCUAGGCCCUGUUCUGCCAGGCGCUGAAGAGACCCCAGGCUACAGAUAACGUCCACGUUUUGCUCACAGAUAUUCCAUCCCCAGGGGGAAAAAAUGGCUGCA